UACGGUGGGGGCAAGCGUUGUUCGGAAUUACUGGGCGUAAAGGGCUCGUAGGCGGCCAACUAAGUCGGAUGUGAAAUCCCCAGGCCUAACCUGGGAACUGCAUCCGAUACUGGAUGGCUUGAAUCCGGGAGAGGGAUGCGGAAUUCCAGGUGUAGCGGUGAAAUGCGUAGAUAUCUGGAGGAACACCGGUGGCGAAGGCGGCAUCCUGGACCGGCAUUGACGCUGAGGAGCGAAAGCCAGGGGAGCAAACGGG
rnacentral:rRNA from 1 species